GCCGCGCUGCCCUCGGAGCCGCUGCCGCCUCGGAGGAGGUUUUAAAAUGGAAAAUUUCGAUGCCUCACUCAGCACCUACUUCAGGGCAUGGCUGGGUCCCCGAGAUACCAGAGUAAAAGGAUGGUUUCUUCUAGACAAUUAUUUACCUACAUUGGUCUGCUCUGUCAUUUAUUUAAUGAUUGUAUGGCUGGGACCAAAAUACAUGAAGAAUAAACAGCCGUUCUCUCUCUUGCCGGGGGAUUUUAGUGGUAUAUAACCUCGGGCUCACCUUGCUGUCUCUCUAUAUGUUUGUCGAGCUGGUGACAGGAGUGUGGGAAGGCAGGUACGACUUCUUCUGCCAAGGCACACGCAGCGCCGGAGGAUCAGACACGAAGAUUAUCCGUGUCCUCUGGUGGUACUACUUCUCCAAACUCAUAGAAUUCGUGGACACCUUCUUCUUCAUCCUGCGCAAGAACAACUACCAGAUCACAGUCCUGCCCGUCUACCACCACGCCUCCAUGUUCAACAUUUGGUGGUUUGUGAUGAACUGGGUGCCCUGCGGCCACUCUUAUUUCGGCGCCACGCUUAACAGCUUCAUCCACGUGCUCGUGUACUCCUACUAUGGCCUGUCGUCCAUCCCCUCCAUGCGCCCGUACCUCUGGUGGAAGAAGUACAGCACACAGGGGCAGCUGGUGCAGUUCGUGCUGACCAUCAUCCAGACCACCUGCGGGGUCGUGUGGCCGUGCUCCUUCCCACCGGGGUGGCUGUACUUCCAGAUUAGGUACAUGGUCUCCCUCAUCAUCCUCUUCACCAACUUCUACCAUGAGACUUACAACAAGAAGGGGGCCUCCCGAUGGAAAGACCACGCAAAGGACCACCAGAAUGGCUCCGUGGCCGCCGUGAAUGGGCACACUAAUGGCUUCUCCCUGGAGAGCAGCGUGAAGCCCAGGAAGCAGCGCAAGGACUGAGCGCGCUCCGCACACCCUGUGAUUGUAAGCACAGCCGUUGUGCUCCUCGCUGUUAGCAGCUGCUGUUCUAGUCGGCCUGCAAUAGUGUGAUUCGUGUAGGGCCUCCUCCAUCCGUUCAAACCCCUCGAGUACGCACGCCCGUUAUCCACGUAGGCUAAGGUCUCUCACGUUUCUGGGCUCAUUGACCCCGCGCUAGACUGUGGAAAGGGAGUAUUGUAGUAUAUGACACUGCUGUUGCCUUAUUAGUUAUAACGUGAUAGGUGCUGAAUUGUGAUUCACAAUUUUAAAACACUGUAAUCCAAACUUUUUUUUUAAUUAUAGAUCAUGCAUGUGAUUGUAAAUGUAAAUUUGUAUGAUGUUGUUACAGUAGAGAAACACACAUGCCUUAAAAUUUGCAA